rnacentral:rRNA from 1 species
UUCGCAAUGCCCGAAAGGGUGACGAAGCGACGCCGCGUGUGGGAAGAAGGCCUUCGGGUUGUAAACCACUGUCGGGAGUUAAGAAAUGCAAGGAUAUUAAUAGUGUCUUUGCUUGACUAAGGCUCCGGAGGAAGCCACGGCUAACUCUGUGCCAGCAGCCGCGGUAAUACAGAGGCGGCAAGCGUUGUUCGGAAUUAUUGGGCGUAAAGAGCACGUAGGCGGCUAUGUAAGUCGGUUGUGAAAGCCUUCCGCUCAACGGGAGAACAGCAUCCGAUACUACAUGGCUUGAGCGCGGGAGGGGAGAGUGGAACUUCUGGUGGAGCGGUGAAAUGCGUAGAUAUCAGAAGGAACGCCGGCGGCGAAAGCGGCUCUCUGGCCCAUAACUGACGCUGAGUGUGCGAAAGCUAGGGGAGCAAACGGGAUUAGAUACCCCGGUAGUCCUAGCCGUAAACGAUGGGCACUAAGUAGAGGGGUUUU